UAUGGCCACACCAUGUUGAAACACCAGUUCCGAUACAAUCACUGAAGUUAAGCAACAUUGAGCCUCGUCUCUAACUAGAUGGGUGACCACUUGGGAUUACUAGGUGCUGUAAG